rnacentral:rRNA from 1 species
AGUCUGGUGCCAGCAGCCGCGGUAAUUCCAGCUCCAAGAGCGAGCACCAUUUCUGCUGCAGUUAAAAAGCUCGUAGUUGAACUUUUGGGUCUUGUUUGUUAGCGUUGGUUUUAAUUAAUUAGCGAUCUUUCAAACGGGCUCUUUCGUAGGAUCCGCUUGCUUACGCAUUCAUUUGUGUCUGUAGGCCCCUACCGUUUACUGUGAGGAAAUCUACGCGCUCAACGCCUUUUUUUGAAAGAAAAGUUCAGCACGGAAUGAUAAGAUACGAUACACGAUGUCUUGUUGGUUUACAUUGUAUAUAAUGAUGAAUAGAAACAGGUGGGGCAAUUUGUAUCACUGCGUCAGAGGUGAAAUUCUUGGAUCGCACUGAUACAAUCGACAGCGAAGGCAUUUUGCAAGGAUGUUUUCAUUAAUCAAGAACGUUAGUUAGGGGAUCGAAGAUGAUUAGAUACCGUUGUAGUCCUAACCGUAAACGAUGCCGACUGCCAAUUGUUGAGGAUUAUUUUUAGUCUUCAGCAGCGGGCGAGAGAAAUCGAAGUCUUUGGGUUCUGGGGGGAGUAUGAGCGCAAGCUUGAAACUUAAAGGAAUUGACGGAAGGGCACACCAGAGGUGGAGCUUGCGGCUUAAUUUGACCCAACACGGGAAAACUUACCAGGGUCGGACUUUUGCAGGAUUGACAGAUUAAUAGCUCUUUCAUGAUUAAAAGGGUGGUGGUGCAUGGCCGUUCGUAGUUGGUGGAGUGAUUUGUCUGGUUAAUUCCGUUAACGAACGAGACCACGUUUGUAUAAUAGGACCGUCGUCUUACGACGAACGAAACCUUCUUUACAAGACUUUCCGCUUCCAGCGGGAGGAAGUUCGUGGCAAUAACAGGUCUGUGAUGCCCUUAGAUAGCCUGGGCCGCACGCGUGCUACAAUGGAGGCGUCAAUAGGUAUACUGUGCUCGACCGGAAGGUCUUGCUAAUCCCAAAUUGCCUUCGUGAUGGGGCUUGAUCUUUGAAAUUAUGGAUCAUAAACGAGGAAUCUCUAGUAAGGGUGUGUCAUCAGCGCAUCCUGAUUACGUCCCUGCCCUUUGUACACACCGCCCGUCGCACCUACCGAUGAAAAAUUAAACGAGGUCUCGGGACCCGGUCUUUUCUCGGGUCAAACCGCG